rnacentral:lncRNA from 1 species
UAGGAAAAGGUUAUUUUAGAAUAAAAUAAUGAAGUAAGCAAAUAGAAAAUUCAAAGAUGACUCCACAAAAAAUUGAGAGAAAAGAGGAUGUAUGAAAAAGGAGCUUGUUUAGGGCCAAAUAUAAAUGUGGUCAUUAUUGAAUCUUCUAGCGGAAUUAUCUAAUAUCUAUUCCAGCAAGAGAUGGAAAAUCAGGAAGAUGUCAGAAGCAGGCCUAGAUGUACUAUAUGACACUCUGUUAUAUCAUAGACCACUGUGCUGUCUUUUCUUCAACACAUGCAAGAUUUUCAUUUCUCAGAUGUCAUGCAGCCUCUCAGUUGGAACAAGAUGGUGAACCUUGGGUCUUAUAUUGUUAGAGAGUUUAGAAUCACGUGUACUUGAGGUAUGAUUUGUGGUAGGUAAAGUCAUAAGCUACCACAGACUGCCCUUUUUGGUUGUUGCUCCCAUGAACUCUGACCAUGUUUCUUAAUACUUAUUUUAUUCUGCAUCUCGAUAUCAUAGACUCUCUGUCACCUAACCCUUUAUUAUUGUUUUUAAAAGCCAUUUUGUCUCUUUAUACAGGAGCUGCUUUUUACUUAAUAUUUUCUUUAUCAUAUUAUUUUCUUUCCCCAUUUUUUACUUAACAUCCAUUCCAUUUGGCAGGGGGGCUUCAUGUCUUAUCUCUGAAUCCUGGCUGAUUACAAUGUUUCUGGAGUGCUUUUGAUGGGCAAUGUUUUGAACAGAGAUAAGGAUGAGGAGCCAACUGUAAAACAAGAGAUUGAAGAAAUUGAGGAAGAAGUGGAACCACAGGGUGUAAUAGUUACAAGAAUCAAAAGUGAAAUUGACCAGGAUCCUAUGGGUAGAGAAACAUUUGAACUUGUUGGUAGGUUAGAUAAACAAAGAGGGAUCUUCCUAUGGGAAAUACCAAGGGAAUCUUUGACCCAGGAACAGAGAAUGUUCAGAGAAAACACUAACAUUAUCCGUAAAAGACCAAACUCAGAAGAGAAAUGCCAUAAAUGUGAAGAAUGUGGAAAGGGUUUUGUCCGCAAGGCCCAUUUCAUUCAACAUCAAAGGGUCCAUACUGGUGAGAAACCUUUUCAGUGCAAUGAAUGUGGGAAAAGUUUUAGUCGCAGUUCAUUUGUUAUUGAACAUCAGAGAAUUCACACUGGGGAAAGGCCCUAUGAGUGUAAUUACUGUGGAAAAACCUUUAGUGUGAGCUCAACCCUUAUUAGACAUCAGAGAAUCCACACUGGAGAAAGACCCUAUCAGUGUAAUCAGUGUAAACAGAGCUUCAGCCAGAGAAGGAGCCUUGUUAAACAUCAAAGGAUUCAUACAGGUGAGAAACCCCAUAAAUGUAGUGACUGUGGGAAAGCCUUCAGUUGGAAAUCACACCUUAUUGAGCAUCAAAGAACUCACACUGGUGAGAAACCUUAUCACUGUACCAAAUGUAAGAAGAGCUUUAGUCGAAAUUCAUUGCUUGUUGAGCAUCAAAGAAUUCACACUGGGGAAAGACCCCAUAAAUGUGGUGAAUGUGGGAAAGCCUUUCGAUUAAGCACAUACCUUAUACAACACCAAAAAAUUCACACUGGCGAGAAGCCUUUUCUUUGUAUUGAGUGUGGAAAAAGUUUCAGUCGGAGCUCAUUCCUUAUUGAACAUCAGAGGAUCCAUACUGGUGAAAGACCUUAUCAGUGCAAAGAGUGUGGGAAAAGUUUCAGUCAACUUUGCAACCUUACUCGUCAUCAGAGAAUUCACACAGGAGACAAGCCCCAUAAAUGUGAGGAAUGUGGAAAAGCCUUUAGUAGAAGCUCAGGUCUUAUUCAGCAUCAGAGAAUUCACACCAGGGAGAAGACUUAUCCAUACAAUGAAACUAAGGAAAGUUUUGAUCCAAAUUGCAGUCUUGUUAUACAGCAGGAAGUCUACCCUAAGGAGAAAUCUUAUAAAUGUGAUGAAUGUGGGAAAACUUUUAGUGUUAGUGCUCAUCUUGUACAACAUCAAAGAAUCCACACUGGUGAAAAGCCCUAUCUAUGUACUGUCUGUGGGAAAAGCUUCAGCCGGAGCUCAUUUCUUAUUGAACAUCAGAGAAUCCACACUGGUGAGAGACCCUAUCUGUGCAGACAGUGUGGAAAAAGCUUUAGUCAGCUUUGUAAUCUUAUUCGACAUCAGGGUGUUCACACAGGUAAUAAACCCCAUAAAUGUGAUGAAUGUGGAAAGGCCUUUAGCCGGAACUCGGGUCUUAUUCAGCAUCAGAGAAUACACACAGGAGAGAAACCUUAUAAGUGUGAGAAGUGCGACAAAAGUUUCAGUCAACAGCGCAGUCUUGUCAACCAUCAGAAGAUCCAUGCAGAGGUGAAAACCCAAGAAACCCAUGAAUGUGACGCUUGUGGUGAAGCCUUUAAUUGCCGUAUUUCUCUUAUUCAGCAUCAGAAAUUGCACACAGCAUGGAUGCAAUAAAUGUAGAGCAAUACAUAAGCUCAAUUUGAUUUGAGACUAGUACCCAAGUGCAGUUUUAGUAUGGCUCAACAUGGGUCAGAUUUAGUGAUAAAGCAAAUUCUCCUUGGCCUCAGGCAAAUAGUUUCUAAAGAUUCUGUGAAUAGUGGACAACUGCCCAUGAGCAUUUGACUUCCCUUACUCUUUGAUGAUCGUAGAGAAAGACUUGGUAAUUUAUCUAAGUAUCUUUAAUAAAUCUUUCAGCAGAGAGAUUAAACCUUGGUUCAGAGCAUGGGUGCUCUGAGGGACAAAGUUGGAUUAGUAUAAGGGAGCUGGAGCAGCUGAUAGUGGAAAACAGAAUAAUGAUUCAAAGAGUCUUCUGUCACCAUGUCAUAUUGUGGUUCUUUCAGUUCCAUGAUAUGUUUGGCUCUGCAUGCCAAAGUCCAGUGAUUAAGCAUAUAUAAGUUGUCAAGGAAACAAAGCCCAAAUGUUUUUAAAACAAGUAUAUAGUUUUUGUCAUUGUUUAAGAAAGCCAGUUGUUUGGCAUGUGAGUUAAAGGCAGUUCCAAUGCCUGAUGGUUCCCAGAUCUAUGAAAUGAGUGGACCAUUAACCUUACAUGUAAAGAUUAUGUUAGUAAUUAAGAAACCUAACAAAGGUGUUACCAAGGAACCUUUGGGAGUGCCUUUUUUGUUUUUCAAGAUGGACCCAAAAAAGUGGAGGAAGAUAUUGUUCUUUUGUGCCCUCCUACCUGUGAGAGAUAUUUGUAGUCUUAUGUGAAUGAGCUUAUCCCUCCACAACCAGGUGCAUAUGAAAGUGUACAUAUUAUGACUGCCAAGAAUUGGAAAUGAAAAGACCUGGAGUCUAUGCUAGGAAGCUGAGAUAUUUUGGUAUUGCAUUGGUUUUUAUGGUAACUAGGUUUUGCAUGCAAUUAAAAAUCCUUAUUUCUUGUUCUAGGGCUUCCCUUAGUUAAUGGUUAUUAUAAACUUAUUAAUUCAUC